rnacentral:rRNA from 1 species
GAUGAACGCUAGCGGCAGGCCUAACACAUGCAAGUCGAGGGGUAGAAGGAGCUUGCUCCUUUGAGACCGGCGCACGGGUGCGUAACGCGUAUGCAAUCUACCUUGUACAGGGGAAUAGCCCAGAGAAAUUUGGAUUAAUGCCCCAUAGUAUAUAACCUUCGCAUGUUGGUUAUAUUAAAGUUCCAACGGUACAAGAUGAGCAUGCGUCCCAUUAGUUAGUUGGUAAGGUAACGGCUUACCAAGACGAUGAUGGGUAGGGGUCCUGAGAGGGAGAUCCCCCACACUGGUACUGAGACACGGACCAGACUCCUACGGGAGGCAGCAGUGAGGAAUAUUGGUCAAUGGUCGCAAGACUGAACCAGCCAUGCCGCGUGCAGGAAGACGGUCCUAUGGAUUGUAAACUGCUUUUAUACAGGAAGAAACCCUCCACGUGUGGGAGCUUGACGGUACUGUAGGAAUAAGGAUCGGCUAACUCCGUGCCAGCAGCCGCGGUAAAGUCGUACG